rnacentral:rRNA from 1 species
AACGAACGCUGGCGGCAUGCCUAACACAUGCAAGUCGAACGGGAUCCAGGCUUCGGCCUGGUGAGAGUGGCGGACGGGUGAGUAACACGUGGGAACCUGCCUUUUGGUUCGGGAUAACCGCGGGAAACUGCGGCUAAUACCGGAUGCUCCCGAGAGGGAAAGAUUUAUCGCCAGAAGAGGGGCCCGCGUCCGAUUAGGUAGUUGGUGAGGUAAUGGCUCACCAAGCCGACGAUCGGUAGCUGGUCUGAGAGGAUGAUCAGCCACACUGGGACUGAGAUACGGCCCAGACUCCUACGGGAGGCAGCAGUGGGAAUAUUGGACAAUGGGGCAACCCUGAUCCAGCAAUGCCGCGUGAGUGAUGAAGGCCUUAGGGUUGUAAAGCUCUUUUGCCAGGGAAGAUGAUGACUGUACCUGGAGAAUAAGCCCCGGCUAACUUCGUGCCAGCAGCCGCGGUAAU